rnacentral:rRNA from 1 species
UACGUAGGGGGCAAGCGUUGUCCGGAAUUAUUGGGCGUAAAGAGCGUGUAGGCGGUCCGGUAAGUCAGCUGUGAAAGUCAAGGGCUCAACCCUUGAAUGCCGGUUGAUACUGUCGGGCUAGAGUCCGGAAGAGGCGAGUGGAAUUCCUGGUGUAGCGGUGGAAUGCGCAGAUAUCAGGAGGAACACCAACGGCGAAGGCAGCUCGCUGGGACGGUACUGACACUGAGGCGCGAAAGCGUGGGGAGCGAACAGG